rnacentral:rRNA from 1 species
AGAACGAACGCUGGCGGCAUGCCUAAUACAUGCAAGUCGAACGAGACCUUCGGGUCUAGUGGCGCACGGGUGCGUAACGCGUGGGAAUCUACCCUUGGGUUCGGAAUAACAGUUGGAAACGACUGCUAAUACCGGAUGAUGACGAAAGUCCAAAGAUUUAUCGCCCAGGGAUGAGCCCGCGUAGGAUUAGCUAGUUGGUGAGGUAAAGCUCACCAAGGCUACGAUCCUUAGCUGGUCUGAGAGGAUGAUCAGCCACACUGGACUGAGACACGCCCGAGACUCCUACGGGAGGCAGCGAGUAGGGAAUAGUGGUACAAGUGGGGGACACCCGUAGA